AUAUUUACCUGGAUAGGGUUAAUGGGAGAUUAGUAAGACCUAUGGCCUAGGUUGGUGACAUCCAUUGCAAUUUGGAAAGGUGCCCGACUAAGUUUUACCCCAGUGGUCGAUACUACAUAAUAAUUAGUGGUAGUGGGGCCUACGUUCAUGCGUCCUCUAC
rfam:Capsicum annuum cultivar Zunla-1 unplaced genomic scaffold scaffold1110, whole genome shotgun sequence